rnacentral:rRNA from 1 species
UGCGGAAGGAUCAUUCCUGGACAACGCGCUG